CAGAUUCCUACGGGAGGCAGCAGUGGGGAAUAUUGCACAAUGGGCGGAAGCCUGAUGCAGCAACGCCGCGUGCGGGAUGACGGCCUUCGGGUUGUAAACGGCUUUCGCCUGUGACGAAGCGUGAGUGACGGUAAUGGGUAAAGAAGCACCGGCUAACUACGUGCCAGCAGCCGCGGUGAUACGUAGGGUGCGAGCGUUGUCCGGAUUUAUUGGGCGUAAAGGGCUCGUAGGUGGUUGAUCGCGUCGGAAGUGUAAUCUUGGGGCUUAACCCUGAGCGUGCUUUCGAUACGGGUUGACUUGAGGAAGGUAGGGGAGAAUGGAAUUCCUGGUGGAGCGGUGGAAUGCGCAGAUAUCAGGAGGAACACCAGUGGCGAAGGCGGUUCUCUGGGCCUUUCCUGACGCUGAGGAGCGAAAGCGUGGGGAGCGAACAGGCUUAGAUACCCUGGUAGUCCACGCUGUAAACGGUGGGUACUAGGUGUGGGGUCCAUUCCACGGGUUCCGUGCCGUAGCUAACGCUUUAAGUACCCCGCCUGGGGAGUACGGCCGCAAGGCUAAAACUCAAAGGAAUUGACGGGGCCCCGCACAAGCGGCGGAGCAUGCGGAUUAAUUCGAUGCAACGCGUAGAACCUUACCUGGGUUUGACAUGGAUCGGGAGCGCUCAGAGAUGGGUGUGCCUCUUUUGGGGUCGGUUCACAGGUGGUGCAUGGCUGUCGUCAGCUCGUGUCGUGAGAUGUUGGGUUAAGUCCCGCAACGAGCGCAACCCUUGUUCACUGUUGCCAGCACGUUAUGGUGGGGACUCAGUGGAGACCGCCGGGGUCAACUCGGAGGAAGGUGGGGAUGACGUCAAGUCAUCAUGCCCCUUAUG
rnacentral:rRNA from 1 species